UACGUAGGGUGCAAGCGUUGUCCGGAAUUAUUGGGCGUAAAGAGCUCGUAGGCGGUUUGUCGCGUCUGCUGUGAAAACUCGGGGCUUAACUCCGGGCCUGCAGUGGGUACGGGCAGACUAGAGUGCGGUAGGGGAGACUGGAAUUCCUGGUGUAGCGGUGAAAUGCGCAGAUAUCAGGAGGAACACCGGUGGCGAAAGCGGCUUCCUGGACCAGCACCGACGUCAGGCACGAAAGCGUGGGGAGCAAACAGG
rnacentral:rRNA from 1 species